GACCGUUCUUGUCGUCUUUCUGUGCGUGAGGCGGCUAACUGUGAGCUGCUGCUCGUUAUAACUGACUGCUCGGUCGGUCCCGAAUUAUUUCAUAUUUGCCUGUACAUUUUUUAUUUAUUUUGAGCGAAUUUGAGUCGUGACCUGUCAAUGGAGUACAAAAACUGUGAACACAAGAAAGGUCAGGUGUUCUGCGAGGUCCUGAAAACAUCCUGUCAAAAUGAGCUGAUCAAGUUAGAUGCUCACCUAAUGUGUUACUGAGUCAUCGAGGAUCCAGCUUGUUCUUGAAACAUUGAAGUUUGCCCUCUGCAAGUGAACGACGCCUUGUGGUGCCAUCCCAGAGAGGUUCAUAAUCACUCUCAAGGACCUUUUCCUGGACUGUGCCCAGCUGGUGGAAUCACCUCCCAAUCUCAAUCCGAACUGCUGAGUCUUUAAUCAUUUUCAAGAAACAUCUUAAGACUCAUCUUUUUCACCAGAACUUAACCAACUAAUGCUAGCACUUUUCCUUCUUUUCUUGUCUUUUAUAUAUAAAAAAAAAAAAAAAACCUGGCUAUGCGUUCUGUACUAGACUAACUGAGACUUGUCAUGGCACUUGUAUACUGUUGUUGUUCGCUUGUACACCUGACUGCUUCUGUUCUUCUCAUUUGUAAGUCGCUUUGGAUAAAAGCGUCUGUUAAAUGAUUAAAUGUAAAUGUUUAUACAGGACGGUACAGAAAGUGCACAAGUGGGAGAGAGUGGAGGGGACGGCGUCAGAAAGGACAGAGCGCUGGGACACUUUCAAGGAUCACCCGAAGCACAACCACACUGUAUACACUAAG